CCUUUUUCGAUUGCCAGGUUUGCAAGAGCUGGUUAGGGCUGCUGAUUUCUUUACUCUCUCUCUCUCUCUCUCUCUCUCUCUCUCUCUCUCUCUUUCUCUCUCCCCUCGCUCUCAUUCUCUCUGCCUCUCUCUUCAGCUCUCCCACUGCACUUUGAGUCAUUCGCUCCGUUUGAGCAGAACUUUCAGGACAGGCACAUGUGCACCUGCCCGGUCUUUCUGCCCGCUCCUCGUCCCCAUCACCCUUUGGGAACUUUGACAAAUGAGUGGAGGUACGGGAGAGGUUACACGGAGAUAGUCUGAGAACAUCACUGUUUCUUCCGAGAGGUGUGAGACCACAUGCGCCUUGCUGCGGAGAAGGUGGGAAUCUCUUCGCUCUCGCCUUGGAGAGAGGAGCUGCAAUAUUUGCCUUCACUGACAGCAGUGAACAGGUUCUCACCGGGGCAGUCACUAUCCAUCUCUCGUGACCCAGGGCGGCUCUCGAUGGAACGAUUAUUCGGUACAGAGUCCCAUGUCAAGGCGGGAGAGAGACGGCUUGAGAAGUGCGCUGCGAGGAAAGAGCGGAGUGCUUCUGCUGGAUACCUGGUUUGGAGAGGGACUCCUGAGGAAGCUGAUGCCCAGAGAAAGGCUGUGAGACGGAAGCAAUGAGGGGGGCCACUUUCAUCCCAGAUCGAGUAACACAGAAGGGAACCUCUCCAGGUAAGCUGCUGUUGGACAAGGAUCCCUCAGGACACGCUGCCUCCCUGAUUGGGACACACCCCUCACACACCCUCCACCCUUGGAGGGAGUGAAGGGGUGUCGAUGACAGCACCUGACUGACACACCUUCCGCUCUCGGGGGCAAACUAGGUUGAAUAACAAUAACUUUUCAGCAGUUUGCCACCACACACAGGUGAGCUGCACUCGAAGCUUACGCUCUCGACAGUAAAGAGAAUCUGUAAACAGUCAUGAGAAAUUAAUGAAGGACUAGGGAAUGUUAAAGUUUGGC
rnacentral:lncRNA from 1 species